ACUGACACACACACUCACACUCACACACAAGUCAGGGCUCACUCAACAGAUGUGCUCUUGUGUGGGAAUCAUAUCGCUUUUUCUGAAACACUGAAGGCAUGACUUUCAAGUAGUUUUACGUUUCAGAUCACCUUAGCCCACAUUUAAUCGAGACAUGUUGGUUUAACGCCAAGCCACAUCAGACCUUUUAAAGUUCAGUGGCUGUGAUAUAAAAUUCUUCACUG
rnacentral:lncRNA from 10 species